GCUCAUAUAAUUAGUCAUUACAACGAUAAUAUACUACAAACAUAUUACCACCGAUAUAUCAAUAUAUAUCACAUAAAAUUUUAAUAUGCUAAACUUAACUAAUAUAUAUGUAAUACCUCAAUUUUGCCCGGCCCAUGGGAAACCAAAGCAUAGUCCAAUAUAUACAAAAUAAUAAUAAAAGUCUCUUAACAGUCCUUUUACAAAUGUUAAAACCCAAUAACUCACCUAAACUUGCCCAAUACAAAAGCCCAUACCUGGUUACAACCCAAUAGCCAAAUCAGUACCUAGACCAGCCCAACUUAAACUAAACCCAAGUAGUUGCAAUCCAAACACUAUUACACCCGUGACCCAGAGAACUUAAACCCAGUACACAAAUUGGCCCAAACGAAAUCAGACCCAAUAAAUUAUGUGGCCCGAUAAGUCCAAAUUGGUUUCAGAUUUGGAGACCCUAGGGUUUUCAAUCACCCUUUUUGGCGCCGUAGCUCUCAUGAAACCUCAGCCUUCACCGUUGCCAUUUCAGUGCAUCACGCGGACAUUUACCGCCGGAUCCCUCGGGGUUUACCUGCAAGAAGGGAAAGGAAUGACAGACAUGGCAAAGAAUCGGGGAAUAAAUUGAUACACAAAUUUUGUACACUAGGAAAGAGACUAUAAAAGCCCUUUUAAAUCUGUAAAGGAGGGGAGGUUUUUUUUUUUUUUUGAGUUGUAAUCACACAGACACAAAUAGUAUAGAAGGAAUAAAAAUUACGACAGAUUUAAAGGUUUGACUGCCUUCAUUCUCUAUUAUUUCUUUCUGUCUUUUCAUUUACAUAUAUAUACAUGCAUUUUUAAUAUAAACAGACGAUUCAAAAGCAGUUCGAAAACUAAAAGGAGAAACAGUUCAUUUUUUUAGUUGUAAUAUGCAAAAAUAUUUUUCAAAAUAAGGAAGAAAAGUACUACCAGUGAAACGCCUAGAAAAGGAGGACUUUUGGCCUUCUGACCACCGCGAACGGUGGCGUGUACGGUGGCGCGUGCGACGGAGUUACCAUCGGAGAAUGGUCAGAAUUCGCUUGGCCAAAGAGAAAGAAAGGGUUUUUUUUAGAGAAAAAUGAAGGAAUGAAUUUUUUGUUCUAAAAAUCGGCUUUUAUACCCUCCUGAAACGAUGCUGUUUAGGGCUAAUUUUAAUAGCCCUAAAACGGUACCGUUUAAAGGCUGACCCGCACGCGAGUGACCCGACCCGGGGAAGGAUCCACGUGUUUCUGUUAAAAGGGAUAUUUUCUAUUCAAACCCUUCCACAUUUUGGAUUCUUGUAAUUAAGUCCUUAAACAUUUUCUUAUUUUUAAAAUUCAGCCCAGAAGAAAGGUUCUGGUUUCAAUUCGAUCCUUUAGUCCAUUUAAAUGCAGGAGACAGAACGCAGUCGUUUUGAUAAUAAGGCAUUUUUCCGAAUAAGUCCUUUUUGUUUCACAGGUGUUUUAAUUAGAACCUCAAUUCAGUUUUAUUUUUUUCGAAAUUCACCCUAUAAUCUUAAUAAAUUUCAAAUCUAAUCCUAUAAAUAUAUAUUUAUAUUGUUAUUUGUUUUAUCUUUAAUUUUAAUUUUUAUGUUUUAUAUUUUAUAUUUUAUAAUAUUAUUAUUUAUUAUAUAUUAUAUAUUAUUUUUCAUGAAUUAUUAUUUUAUUAUUAUUAUAUUUUCGCUUAUAUUAUGUAUAUUUAUUAAUUAUUUAUAUAUAUUGUUUUUACAUAUUACUUUCAUUAUUUUGUAUUAUAUCUAUCACAUUUCCUAUUUCCUAUAAAUUUAAAGCAUAUUUUAUUAUAUAACAUUUAUAUAUUUUCAUUUUUAUAUAUAUGUUAUGUAUAUCAUAUAUUAUUUAUGUUUAUAUUAUUCACUAUAUUAUUUAAAUUUUUAAAUUUGUAAAUUAAAUUAUAUUUUUAACUCAUAUUAUAUACAUAUUAAAUUUUUUUAUUUGUUAUGUAUUAUUUUAUUUUAAAAAUGAUAUUUUUAUAUUCUUUUAUAUACUCUUAUUUUUAUAUUCUUUUAAACUAAUAUAUUUCCUAUGCAUAAUUAUUAUUCUAUUUUUGUUAUUAUAUACUACAUAUUAUAUUUUAGAAUUAUUAAUAUCACAUUUUAAUUAUGUGUAUAUUUUGUUAACAAUUAUUAAUUUUAUUUUUAUUAGUUCUGUUAUAUAUUAUAUUGUAGGUAUCAUGGGUGUGUUAAAUGUUAUUUUUUAUAAUUCUUAUUAUAUGUUAUAUUUUAUAAACAUGUACAUUGGUAUUGUUUUUAUUUGUAUGUCAUACAUUAUUUAAUUUUUGCUUAUUUAUAUAUCAUGCAUUAUUUAAUUAUUACUUUGUAUGUUUAUAUAUUUUGUUUAUUCAUUCUCAAUACAUGCUAUACAUAUCUUUGUAUGCACGUUGUUAAGAUUUGUUAUAUAUUAUUCUUAUAUGCAUGUAUUUAGUAAAUGAUUUUUUUUGUAUCAUUGUCAAUGUAUCUUUUACAUGUAUGUUUUGUUCAUUUAUAAUUGUAAUAUUCUAUUCCAUAAUAAUAAUAUGAUUCUUUAUGCAUCAUUAUUUUUUAAAAAAAAAAAAGACUCCAAAGUUUUUAAAAAAAUAUAAAGGCAAUGCUUGGUGUUUGGAAAUUUCGUAAAAGUAGUGCCCUAACUUAUUGGGUUGCAACUUUUCUCGUUGAGUUCGAAUAAUCAAGUACCCUUCUAAGUUUUAAAGACUUUUAAAAUAUAAGCGACUGUCUUGGAACAGCCAAGCGAUAUGUCCUAACUUAUUGGAUGUAGCAUUUUGUCAUUUCGAGAUAGGGAUUUCUGAAAACGGCUAACUUAGUGUCAAUACUUUGAUACGAGUGAACCCAAAUUUUCAAAAAUCAAAAUAUUUUAAAGAGGAUCAUAUCUUAAAAUUUUCAAAAAAAUUCGACAUUAAAGACAUUUGAUAAUCAAUUAGGUACCAAUUCUUGGGCGUUACGAGGGUGCUAAUCCUUCCUCGUACGUAACCGACUCCCGAACCCGUUUUCUGAUUUCGUAGACCAAAACUAAUGAUUUUAAAACAAAAAUGUUUUAAAGGUGAUCCAAUCGCACCUAAAAGGAUUGGUGGCGACUCCUGUUUUCGUUUUUUUAAGUCGGUUCCCAUUUUUCUAAAACUCGAUUUUAAAAAUGGUUUCGACAGCUUGGCGACUCCACUGGGGACCAAUAAGAGAGUCAGGCUAUAUAAUUCAUUACCUCUUGUCUUAAUGUCGAAAAUUAAUGAUUUUAAAAUUUAAUCCUCUUUGCAUUACAUGUGUUAGUAUUAUUGCACGUGUUGCUAUAUUAUGACACGCAUUGCAUUUGCAUGACCGUUGUGGUCAUACCCUUAAGUGGAAGUGAGAAACUACGCAUUCGUGAGGUUUUCGCCUCCGUGCAUGAUAGUGAAUCACUUUCGAAAUACAUCCGUACUUAUGGUUUCGUGAGAUUUUCAUCUCUGUGUAGCCAUAGGGAAAUGUAUUCCCCUGAAUCGAACUCGAUUCAAAUGAGCCUAUAAUGGGUGAGAAUCGAGGAAUCUGCUGGUUCGGGUACCUCAAACUUGAGAACCAACCCCAUCUCGAAAGACCGUAUGAGCCCAACUUAGUUAGGUUUAAACUUUAGAUAUUACCCUUAUAAGUUAUUGUUGAAAUUUAUUAAUAUUAUGUGAUACUGACUAUCUCUUUUCUUUUGCUUGCAUGUCAUUUUGCAUUUACAAAGAUAUCGGUUCACGAUCAGUUUCUAAGUUAGAAAGUUUUAUUAUGGAGAACGGACUUCUUGAUAGAGUGGAAGGCAACGCUAACGUCCAUAGAUGGUCCGAGCAAACUCAACUAGAAAAGGGAGAUAGUAUAGCUAAGGGAUACGUAUCGGAGUUGUUAGAUUACACUCGUAUUAGCGUCAUGCAGAAUAAUCUCUAGGAGCUUAAGGCAAUUUGGGAUCAGUGGGGCAAAGAGACCAAGCAGUUAUUCUACGGUAACUAUGGAGACUUACCUUACUUGCUUGAUGUUCAGAUAGAUGAACACUUAUUCCGAGCCCUUGCUCAGUUUUGGAACCCGGCGUACAGUUGCUUCACUUUUGGAGAAGUAGACAUGGUACCUACUGUGGAAGAGUACACCGCUUUACUUCGUUGUCCCUGGUUUCAGAAUGAUAGGAUUUAUUCCCGAGCUCCUUGUGUCCCUACCUUUUGGAAGAAAUUGAUGAUUAUUACGGGGAUGAGCGAGCAGUGGGCCAUGGCCCAAAUUAAAGAAAAGAGUGAGUGCAAGUGCAUUUCAUGGGACACUUUGAAAGAUCUGAUUCUGACACACCCUGAUGAGACGAAGAAGGUAGAUGUUUUUGCCUUAAGUUUAUAUGGAUUGAUGGUUUUCCCUAGGGCUUUGGGAUAUGUGGAUGAGGAAACCAUAGAUCUUUUUCAUCGACUCAGUAAAAAGGUCACUUCUGUCCCUGCAAUUCUGGCGGAAACAUUCAGGUCUUUAGUUGCAUGUAGGAGGGCUGGUGCUGGCAGGUUUAUAGGAUGUGCUUAGUUACUUUUGGCUUGGUUCUACAGUCAUUUUCGGUUGAUAGAUAGGGUGGUUUGUCGGGUUUUCUUCGAAGAUUAUUCACCAUUGAAAGAUAUAGUAGCUUCAACUAGGAGAGUUGAUGUUCUAGAAGAAAAUUGGAUAGCGCUACUUCAGAACCUUCAAUCGAAAGAUGUUGAGUGGAGGGCUCCGUGGAUGAUGCCUGGUGAGGUUCUUUAUCGAUGCAGCAAUUUUGAUUGGGUACCCCUAUUGGGAAUUUAGGGUGCCAUUGGUUAUGCCCCUUUGCUCGUGCUAAGGCAGCAUGGGUUGAGACAGUUCGUGCCAGCCACUCAUGGGUUGGCUCAAAGUGAAUUUGUAUACAGAGGAGCCGAUUACAAGAAAAGGGUUAGCAAAAUUUCUACUGCUUGGCAGAAGACUUGUCGAUUGAAAAGAGUAGCUAUUAGCCCUGCUACCACAUCGGAAUACGUUGAAUGGAGAGGCAGAAGGGUGAAUGAUAAUAUCCCUAAGCCAAAUGUGGAAGGAGCUCGACCAAUGGAGGAAUAUUUGCGAGCAAGGCCCUCAGAGUUAGAAAUUAUGAAGUAGGAGUUCGAGAGAAAAAGCUUGUAGUUUGAUAAAAGGAUAGCAAAGCUCGAAGAAAAGAAGAUGUACUUGAGUUUGGAUAUCAAGGUUCAAAAGAUGGAGGCCGAGAAAGAGAGGAAAGAAAAGAGGAAGAUUGAGGAAGAUCGAGAUGAUCUAAAAGAGCAUUACAAAAGGGCACAAAUAUCCUUGAGAAGGGCGAGAGUAGGAGGAUCUUCGGAGCAGUUGCAGAAAGAAGUCCAAGAGGAAAAGGCUAGAGCCGAGUAGUGGGAGAGAAAGUUCCAAGAGAUGCAAGUGCAGAAUUUGGCAUUAGAGGAAGAGAAUAAAGGAUUAAAUACUAAGGUGAUUGAGCUUGGAAGAUCCCUGCGUUGGCACCAAAACCAUAAUUCUAUGGUCGAGUUAAAGGAGCUAAAGAGCAAGGUUGAGGAUUUAGAGGUAGCAUUGCAUGACGGUGAACUUCAGGUUGAGCAGCUCAAUGCGCAAGAAGAUUAUCUGAAGGGAGAACUACAUCAGGCUAGAGGACAUGUCAGAGAAAGGGAUCAUGUCAUUGGAGAGGCCAUAGCCCAGAUUUGAGAGGUUGCUCAGUAUAUGCAAGACUUGGCAAUUCGAGCAGAUGUAUUGAGUCUGAUGUAUUCAUCAUCGUCGGAUGUAGGAUGAGAGUUAGCCCUUUUAUUAGAUAGAGUUAAAGCUUUGGGCCUUAGGGCAAAAGCGUAUUUGUGAUCCUCUUAUAUGUAAAGAUAUUCUUUUUCUAAAUAAAAUUUUCUAAAUGAAGUUGAACCAGAAUCGAUAUUCUUUAUGCAUUCAUACAUUUGCAUCUCAUGGCAUUUCAUCACAUCAUUUGCAUUCAAGGUUAUAGAAAGACCCUGAUUAGUCAAAGUUUACUUUCAAAGGUAGAAAAGGAAAUCUGGAAAUAACACAUCCUUACGGCACUCGUACUAAAACUAAGAGCAUGGAUCAAAGGUUCGAGCAAUUACAAAAAGAUAUGCAAGAGCAAAUGCAAGAGCAGUUGGCCAAAAUGUAGAAUGAAAUGAGGGAGCAGAUGCUAGAGGUUCAAAGAAAUAUGAUGGCUGAAAUGGCUCAGCUUCUGAGAGCCACUGAUAAAGGAAAAGCUCCUAUGGUGAUCACUAAAGAGGAGAAUGUAUGUCCUCUUCUGGGUUUUACUCCGCCUCAUAUGCCCUUGCAAACUGAGGCACCUCCUAAAAGGCCAUCUGUCACUGUGAAGCCUCCACAUGGGCCGAUUAAUACUAGUAUCCAUAUGAAUUUUUCGGCUGGUUCGGGACUCAAUUUGGGUGACAAUCCUACUAAUCCUCUCGUUCCUGAUCUAGAUAUGGUGGAAAAGGAGGAUUUGAAAGCUGAAGCUGCAAGGCAGUUAGAUGAACGUUGCAGAUGGCUAGAAGAAAAGUUCAAGGCUUUGGAAGGCACUGGAAAUCAUCAUGGGGUUGAUGCCAAAGAUUUAAGUCUAGUCCCAAACCUAGUGCUGCCUCACAAAUUCAAAAUGCCGGAGUUUGAGAAGUACAAUGGUACUACUUGCCCAGAGGCUCACGUCAUAAUGUUCUAUAGAAGGAUGACAGGGUAUGUAAACAAUGAUCAGCUAUUGAUCCAUUGUUUUCAAGAUAGUUUAGUGGGAGAAGCAGCCAGAUGGUACAAUCAGUUGAGCCGGGCCAGAAUAAAUUCGUGGAGGGAUCUUGCACAAGCCUUCAUGCAGCAGUACAACCAUGUGACUGAUAUGACGCCGGACAGGAUCACACUUCAGAAUAUGGAGAAAAAGCCUAAUGAAAGUUUUAGGCAAUAUGCACAACGAUGGAGGGAGGUGGAAAUGCAAGUACAACCACCAUUGUUAGAAAAGGAAACCACCAUGUUAUUUAUCAACACUUUGAAAGCGUCAUUCAUCACUCACAUGAUUGGAAGCACCACGAAAGUUUUGCGGAUAUAGUUAUGGUAGGGGAGAUGAUUGAGAACGCCAUAAGGGGCGGUAAAAUUGAGCGGGAAGUGGUCAAAAGAUCAGCCCCAAGAAGAAAAGACAAUAAGGUGAAUAAUACAAGCAGUUUCAAUUCAAAAGCAGUCACGGUUAGUCAGCCCAAAGUAGCCCCAGUUGGGCAACAUGGCUCUCAAAAGCAAGAAUCUAGCACUAGGCAUGAGAGGAUGCAAUUUACACCUAUACCUGUGACAUAUCGGGAGAUUUAUCAAAACUUAUAUGAUGCACAUGCUAUAGCCCCUUUCCACUUGAAACCAUUACAGCCUCCAUAUCCUAAAUGGUACAUGCAAAUGCCAGAUGUGAGUAUCAUGCUGAAAUAUCGGGGCACUCAAUUGAGAAUUGUACUGGAUUCAAGAAAGCCGUAGAGAGGUUGAUCAAGAAUGGGGUUUUAAAAUUUGAGAGUACCCCAAAUACUGAGAACCCUUUGCCAAACCAUGACCAUCAAGAAGUGAAUGCCAUUAGUGAGGCUAGUGAAAAAAGGAUGAAGGAAAGUGUCGCUGAAGUAAAGAUGCCUUUGAGAAUAAUUUGGAAUGUGAUGGCGAAGAGAGGGAUAAUAACCUCUGAGGAAUGAAGAGAAGAAGUGGGGGACUACUGUGAGUUCCAUGGGAAGGAGGGUCAUGAGACCCAAAAUUGUGAAGAAUAUAAAGUCUUGGUGUAAGGUUUCAUUGACAAUAAAGAGCUACAGAUUUUUGAAGAUAGCUCUUAUAAACGAGAAAUAAAUGCGUUAAAAGGAGAACAACAAGGAAUCAGUCAGCCAAAGAUCAUUAUCUCUCUGCCUGAAAAUAAGGAAGUAGAGGCGCCAACAGUGCCCAAGGUCAUCAUCCAUAAGCCCAAUCCUUUUCCUUACAAGGAUGACAAGAGGGUGCCAUGGAGUUACGACUACAGUGUAACAGUACCCAAAGAAGAAAGUAUAGCCAGUGCAUCUAAGGAUGUGCAGAAUGAAGGUUCCUUUACAAGAAGUGGGAAACGUUAUGAUGAGGGGGUAUCAGAGUGGAGCCCACAAAAACAAAAGAUAUUAAUGUUGAGAAAAGGAAAAAGACUGAAAUACCCAUCAAUGAAUCGGUAAGAGAGGAAGAGGCUAAGGAAUUUCUGAAGUUCCUUAAGCAUAGUGAAUAUAGUGUGGUCGAGCAAUUGCGUAAGCAACCAACGCGCAUAUCAGUAUUAGCCUUGCUUCUGAGUUCUGAGGUGUAUCGGGAGGCAUUGUUUAAGGUACUUAACGAGACAUAUGUCACCCACGACAUAUCUAUCAAUAAGUUGGACCGGUUGGUAAACAACAUUAGUGCUGACAAUUUCAUUUAUUUUAAUGAUGAUGAAAUUCCACUUGGGGGCAUAGGGUCAACCAAAUCCUUACACAUCACUACUCGGUGCAAAGGAUACACAUUUCCAAGUGUACUCAUGGAUAAUGGGUCUGCUUUGAACGUCCUGCCGCUAUCCACCUUGAACAGAUUGCCCAUUGACAGUUCGCAUAUGAAAACGUGUCAAAAUAUGGUAAGAGCCUUUGAUGGAACUGAAAGAAAAGUAAUGGGACGAAUUGACAUCCCUCUGGAGAUUGGGCUGAAUACGUAUGAAGUUGAUUUUCUAGUGAUGGAUAUCAAGCCCUCCUACAAUUGUUUAUUGGGGAGACCAUGGAUACACUUGGCAGGAGCGGUUCCUUCUUCAUUGCACCAAAAAUUGAAGUUAGUGACAGAUGGACGCUUAAUAACCAUCAAUGCGGAAGAGGACAUCAUAGCGGCAGUUACCAGCAAGGUCCCUUAUGUUGAGGCAAAUGAAGAGGCUAUUGAAUGUUCUUUUCGCUCUUUAGAAGUCAUUAAUGCCACCUUCAUUUUGGAAGGAAGCGAAGUGCCGGUACCCAAAAUGUCUGGAGCCACGAGGAUGGCCCUACAAAUGAUGAUGGGGAAAGGAGCAUUGCUGGGAAAAGGGCUAGGAAGACAGUUGCAAGGAGGGGUUCAAAUCCCAAAACUGAUUGAGAAGAAGGACCGCUUUGGCUUGGGCUUCAAGCCAGACCACAAGCACAAGAGGCAAGAAAUAGAAAAGCGCCAAGCGAGAAGAAAUGCGCAUUUGAAUGGGAGAGAAGUCGAGUGGGAACCGAUGACAUUCCCACCUAUAUCCAAAUACUUUAAAUUAGGAGGACUGCUGAUAAAGGAAAGUCAUCAAGUUAAUGCUGUACACAAUGAGGGAUCAGAGCAAGGAAGCCUCAAGGGCAUUCACCAUUACGAACCGGGGAGCUCUCUGAAUAAUUGGACUGUGGAAGACCUUCCUGUAGUCUUUAGGAAUUUUUCAGAGUAGUUCUCAAAACAUGUCUGUUACUCUAGGACCUAGGAGUAGUAAGAUUAUAUUUGUGAAAUAGGCUUAUGUUCAUCUAUAAUUAUUUAAAUAAAACAUAACUUUUAUCAAUUUAAACGAGUAUGGUUUCAUUUUAUCAACCAAUAUUCCUUCAAAUUCUAGCAAUUCUUAUUCUUUUAUUCAAAGCACAUAAACAAUCGUUCUUCGAUUCAUUCAUUCUUUGUAUAUUCUUUCAUACCCCCACAGGUCCCUAGAUAUCAAUGAUAUGAGCACUGAUACUACAGCUCCUAAUUUCUCUGGCGAUCAAGACAUAUGUUUAGAGGAACCUCAGGAUUUUAAAGAUGCUCAAGAUUGUGAUGUAUCUCUCGAUCUGUUAAGAAUGGUUAAGCAGGAGGAGAAACAAAUCAUGCCACAUGAGAAAAAGGCAAUAGAGAAUAUAGCCUUAGAGGAAGGGAAGGAGUUGAAAAUCGGACCCCUAAUUGGCGAAGACACAAGGCAUGGUCUGGUUGAGUUGCUUAGAGAGUUCAAGGAUAUCUUCGCCUGGUCAUAUCAGGAUGUGCCUGGAUUGAGUACUGACAUUGUAGUACAUCGUCUUCCGAUAAAACAAGAUUGCAAACCAGUCCAACAGAAGUCGCGGAGAAUGCGUCCAGAUAUUGUUCUGAAAGUAAAGGAUGAAGUCAAGAAACAGUUUGACGCAGGAUUCUUGCAAGAAGUGAAGUACUUCGAAUGGGUAGCUAACAUUGUUUUCGUUCCUAAUAAGGAUGGGAAGGUACGAAUGUGUGUUGAUUACAAAGACUGAACAAAGCAAGCCCAAAGGGUAAUUUUCCUUUGCCACACAUUGACACUUUAGUAGACAACACAGCAGGAUAUUCGUUGUUCUCUUUCAUGGAUGGUUUCUCAGGAUACAAUUAGAUAAAGAUGCAUCCAGAAGACAUGGAUAAGACUACCUUCAUAACCUUAUGGGGUACCUUUUGCUACAAAGUAAUGCCAUUUGGAUUGAAGAACGCAGGGGCAACAUACCAACGAGCUAUGGUAAAUUUAUUCCAUGACAUGAUGCAUAAGGAUAUCGAGGUAUACGUUGAUGAUAUGAUCGCCAAGUCGCGAACAGAAAAAGAACACAUUGAGGUCUUACGAAGAUUGUUCUUAAGGUUGAGAAAAUUUUAGUUGAAGCUCAAUCCAGCAAAAUGCACCUUUGGGGCAAGAUCGGGAAAGUUAUUAGGCUUCGUAGUCCGUGAAAAGGGAAUUGAAGUUGACUCAGACAAGGUCAGAGCCAUACGAGAGUUGCCUCUGCCACGUACUCAGAAGGAAGUUCGAGGAUUCCUAGGGACGUUGAAUUACAUCGCUUGGUUCAUUUCACAAUUGACUGAGAAAUGUGAUCCUAUUUUUCGCCUCCUUAGAAAGCAUAAUCAAGGUACUUGGGAUGAAGAAUGCCAGAAUGCUUUUGAGAAAGUCAAGCAGUAUUUGUUGAAUGCUCCAGUGUUAUCUCCACCUAGUCCGGAUAAACCAUUAAUACUAUAUUUAUCAGUGUUCAGUAAUUCUAUAGGAUGUGUGCUUGGUCAACAUGAUGAGUUGGGGAAAAGGAAGAAGGCAAUUUAUUAUCUCAGUAAAAAAUUCACUGACUGUGAAAUGAGAUAUUCACCAAUUGAAAAGUUGUGUUGUGCGCUAAUCUGGACCACCCGAAGAUUAAGACAGUACAUGUUAUACCAUACCACUUGGGUCAUCUCAAAGUUGGAUCCAUUGAAAUACAUGAUGGAGUCAACGGCUUUAAAUGGAAGAAUGGCAAGAUGGCAAAUUUUUCUUUCAGAGUUUGAUAUAGUCUACGUAAGUCAGAAGGCUAUAAAAGGAAGUGCGGUAGCUGAUUUCUUGGCUAGUGGAGCUCUAGAGGAUUAUGAGCCAUUGAACUUUGAUUUUCCAAAUGAGGAAUUAAUGUGUAUAGCAAUGACUGAAAAUUUUCCAUGGAGGCUCAAUUUUGAUGGGGCUUCUAAUGCAGUUGGGAAUGGAAUUGGGGUAGUCUUGGUAUCCCCUAAUGGCAAUCAUUACCCAUUCACGUGCAAGUUAGACUUUGAUUGCACAAAUAAUAUGGCUGAGUAUGAAGCAUGAAUCAUGGGACUUCAAGUAGCCAUAGAGCGAGGUAUAAGAGCCUUAGAAGUAUAUGGAGAUUCAAAGUUGGUAAUUUAUCAGCUUAGAGGUGAAUGGGAGACAAGGGACCCUAAAUUGAUCAAUUAUCUAAAGGUAGUUUUGGGGUUGCUUGAGGAGUUUGAUAAUAUCACCUUUAAUUAUCUUCCGCGAGACGAAAAUCAGGUGGCAGAUGCUCUAGCAACUUUGGCCUCAAUGAUUAAGGCAAAUAAAGAGGAAUAGAUGAGACCAAUUCAAAUGAGUGUCUAUGAAACUCCUGCUAGCUGUUGUAACCUUGAAGAGGAAGAAAAGGAUGAUAAUCCUUGGUAUCAGGAUAUAUUGCGAUAUGUAAAAGAUCGUAAAUAUCCAGAACAGGCAACCGAAAAUGAUAAACGAACUUUAAGAAGGAUAGCUUAUGACUAUGUCUUGGACAGGGAUGUCCUGUUCAAGAGAAGGAAAGACCAAAUACUUUUGAGAUGUGUUAAUUGUGUAGAAGCCAAGCUAAUUCUAGAAGAGGUUCAUGAAGGAGUAUGUGGUACCCAUGCAAACGGGUUCACGAUGGCAAGGAAAAUCAUGAGGUUUGGCUAUUACUGGGCCACUAUGGAAGGAGAUUGCAUCAACUAUGCCAAAAAAUACCAUAAGUGUCAGAUUUAUGGGGACAAAAUUCAUGUACCGCCUUCACCUUUACAUGUCAUGACUUUUCCAUGGCCCUUUUCCAUGUGGGGCAUGGAUGUCAUCGGACCAAUAUCACCGAAAGCUUUAAAUGGACAUCGGUUUAUCUUCGUGGUGAUUGACUACUUUACAAAAUGGGUAGAGGCUACUUCUUACGCAAAUGUUACUAAGUCAGCUGUAAGUCAAUUUUUGAAUAAGGAGAUCAUUUGUCGGUAUGGAAUGCCUGAGAGGAUCAUAUCCGAUAAUACAUUAAAUUUGAACAACAAAACUAUAGCAGAGGUUUGCGACCAGUUCAAGUUCAGGCAUCACAACUCUUCACCCUAUCGUCCAAAAAUGAAUGGGGCAGUGGAGGCCGCCAAUAAGAACAUUAAGAAAAUAGUGGGAAAGAUGACUGAGACUUAUAGGGAUUGGCAUGAAAAGUUACUAUUCGCACUCCUGGCCUAUCGAACAUCUGUCAGAACCUCUACUGGGGCAACUCCAUUCUCGUUAGUUUAUGGGAUGGAAGUAGUAUUACCUAUUGAAAUAGAAAUACCUUCUCUUCGAAUUUUGAUGGAGGUAAAGUUAGAUGAAGCUGAGUGGGUUCAAUCCCGGUAUGACUAGUUAAACUUGAUUGAGGAAAAGAGGCUAAAAGCCAUUCGACAUGGUCAGAUAUAUCAGAAGCGAAUGAUGCGAGCUUAUGACAAGAAAGUUCGACCAAGAGAAUUCCAUGAGGGAGACCUUGUACUGAAAAAAUCAUUCCUAUUCAAAAGGAUUUUAAAGGAAAAUAGAUGCCAAAUUGGGAAGGGCCGUAUGUCGUGAAGAAAGCUUUCUCCGGUGGUGCAUUGAUCUUAGCGGAAAUGGAUGGGAAAAUUUUACCCAAUCCAGUGAACUCGGACUCAGUUAAAAAAUACUUUGUCUAAAGAAGAAGAGAAUCUAAGGUGAAAACCCGCAAAGGGCGCCUUGAGAUUUAAAAAAAAAUGGAGAGGCCAAGGUGAAAACCCGCAAAGGGCACCUUGUAACCAAAGGGAUUUUGAGUUGAAAACCCGAAAGGGCAGCUCAAAUAUUGAAGGGCAUACGGUAAUCUUGCUAUAUUUAAUACAACAAAGAGCGAAAAACGCUGCACACUGGGGCAUCAACAGAGUACUUGGGAUCUUUUUAACACAUGUUGAAUUCAAGAAAGACUUCAUGGAGCUGGUGUAUAGGCACUCAAACGGCGAUAUCUAGAGGAUCUAACUUCUGUCUUGCUUGCUAUCUUUAGAUUUUGUUUCUUCUAGAAGAUAGGCUAGCAGAUUAAUUCCCUUUUGUAUAUUUUUUUUUACAAAUUUAAUUAUUCUUAAAAAUUUAUUCGUCUUUCACUAUUCUUUAAGUAUGUGGCAUUGAAAUAAUGAUAGAUGAACUAAAAUAUUUUCAUGAACAAAGUUUUACACAUUACUUUGGAAUUUCUAGAUAAUGCAAGAAACAAAAACAUGACAAUUGUUCGAGAAAUUCACGUAAGUAAUGGAUAAAGAAACUUGAGGAAUUUCUUUCUUCUAGUCCAAAAGGAAAAUGGACAAAACCAAUGAUUUAAUUCUUACAGACAUCCUCAGUAGAUUGUAGUAUUGAAGGAAGGCCUACAAGCUGAGCAAGAAUGAAGGAAUGAAUAGUCGCGCCUAGGAUAGGGGUCAUAUUCACAGCAUUCUGCAUCAUAACACGUUUAAUUAGGAACAUUCAACUCACUUCGAGCAUAGCAUCCUAAUUAUCAGCCAUAAUCAUUCCACAGGUUAUCGAAGACGACGUGCUUUAAUCCCCUAAACAGCAGGGUAAUAAGCCAUAGCAUAGCAGAUUCGACCUUCAGACAAUUAGGCUGAAGCAGAUCCAAAAUGAUUUGGUAUUCUUGUGUUUACAAGGAACAAAUUGAGGACAUAGCAGAUUUGACUCUCAAACGUUCUCAGAUAUAGCAGAUCUAACCUUCAGAUGUUUAUACUGAAGCAGAUCCAAGAUGAUUUGGUAUUCUUGUGUUUACAAGGAACAAAUCGAGGACAUAGCAGAUUUGACUCUCAGACGUUCUCAGAUAUAGCAGAUCUAACCUUCAGAUGUUUAUACUGAAGCAGAUCUAAGAUGAUUUGGUAUUCUUGUGUUUACAAGAAACAAAUCGAGGACAUAGAAGAUUUGACUCUUAGAUGUUCUCAGAUAUAACAGAUCUAACCUUCAGAUGUUUAGACUGAAGUAGAUCCAAAAUGAUUUGGUAUUCUUGUGUUUACAAGGAACAAAUCGAGGACAUAGCAGAUUUGACUCUCAGAUGUUCUUAGAUAUAGCAGAUCUAACCUUCAGAUGUUUAUACUGAAGCAAGAUCCAAGAUGAUUUGGCAUUCUUGUGUUUACAAGAAAUAAAUCGAGGACAUAGCAGAUUUGACUCUCAGAUGUUCUUAGAUAUAGCAGAUCUAACCUUCAGAUGUUUAUCCUGAAGCAAGAUCCAAGAUGAUUUGGCAUUCUUGUGUUUACAAGAAACAAAUCGAGGACAUAGUAGAUUUGACUCUCAGAUGUUCUCAAACAGACUCAAGAUGGUUUGGCAUCCUUGUGCUUACAAGGAACAAAUCGAAGACAUAGCUGAUUUGGCUUUCAUGUGUUUACGUUAAAGCAAAUCUAAGAUGAUUUGUCAUCUCUGUGUUGUUAGAGAACAAAUCGAAGCCAGGCAUCUCCACUUCAACAGGGAGCAGAUACAUAACAGGUCAUACCUUUAGCUAAUUUCACUGAAGCUAGAUCCAAGAUGAUUUGGCAUCUCUACAAAUCGAAGAAGUGGAUUUUGCAUCUCUAUAUUCGACGGGGAGCAGAUAAAAAAUUCAAGGUUUGGCGAGCCCGGGCAAAAUUGAUUCUUUUAUAUCUUUGCUCUAUUCCUGUUAUACAGCCAUGAGCAAAGAGGGGCAGCUGUAAUACCUCAAUUUUGCCCGGCCCAUGGGAAACCAAAGCAUAGUCCAAUAUAUACAAAAUAAUAAUAAGUCUCUUAACAAUCCUUUUACAAAUGUUAAAACCCAAUAACUCACAUAAACUUGCCCAAUACAAAAGCCUAUACCCGAUUACAACCCAAUAGCCAAAUCAGUACCUAGACCAGCCCAACUUAAACUAAACCCAAGUAGUUGCAAUCCAAACACUAUUACACCCGUGACCCAGAGAACUUAAACCCAGCACACAAAUUGGCCCAAACAAAAUCAGACCCAAUAAACUAUGUGGCCCGAUA
rnacentral:lncRNA from 1 species